CGUUGAGGCACGAAAGUGUGGGGAGCAAAACAGGAUUAGAUACCCUGGUAGUCCACACUGUAAACGAUGGAUACUAGGUGUAGGGGGUAUUAAGCCUUCUGUGCCGUCGCUAACGCAGUAAGUAUCCCACCUGGGGAGUACGACCGCAAGGUUGAAACUCAAAGGAAUUGACGGGGGCCCGCACAAGCAGUGGAGUAUGUGGUUUAAUUCGAAGCAACGCGAAGAACCUUACCAGGGCUUGACAUAUACAGGAAUAAUCUAGAGAUAGGUUAGCUCUUCGGAGUCUGUAUACAGGUGGUGCAUGGUUGUCGUCAGCUCGUGUCGUGAGAUGUUGGGUUAAGUCCCGCAACGAGCGCAACCCCUGUUUCUAGUUGCCAGCACGUUAAGGUGGGAACUCUAGAGAGACUGCCGUUGAUAAAACGGAGGAAGGUGGGGACGACGUCAAAUCAUCAUGCCCUUUAUGUCCUGGGCUACACACGUACUACAAUGGCUAUAACAAAGGGAAGCGAAACAGCGAUGUGAAGCGAAACUCAAAAAAGUAGUCUCAGUUCGGAUUGUAGGCUGAAAUUCGCCCUACAUGAAGCCGGAACGCUAGUAAUGG
rnacentral:rRNA from 1 species